rnacentral:rRNA from 1 species
AAAUUGAAGAGUUUGAUCAUGGCUCAGAUUGAACGCUGGCGGCAGGCCUAACACAUGCAAGUCGAACGGUAACAGGAAGCAGCUUGCUGCUUUGCUGACGAGUGGCGGACGGGUGAGUAAUGUCUGGGAAACUGCCUGAUGGAGGGGGAUAACUACUGGAAACGGUGGCUAAUACCGCAUAACGUCGCAAGACCAAAGAGGGGGACCUUCGGGCCUCUUGCCAUCAGAUGUGCCCAGAUGGGAUUAGCUUGUUGGUGAGGUAACGGCUCACCAAGGCGACGAUCCCUAGCUGGUCUGAGAGGAUGAUCAGCCACACUGGAACUGAGACACGGUCCAGACUCCUACGGGAGGCAGCAGUGGGGAAUAUUGCACAAUGGGCGCAAGCCUGAUGCAGCCAUGCCGCGUGUAUGAAGAAGGCCUUCGGGUUGUAAAGUACUUUCAGCGGGGAGGAAGGUGUUGCGGUUAAUAACC